UGGACAGAUUAUUGUAUUCGACCGUAUUUACGGCUUGAAAUAGGGGAUUACACAAUUUUUAAAAGGAAAGUAAAUCAAUUAACAUAAUAGACUCCU
rnacentral:pre_miRNA from 1 species